UCACAGGGUUGAGAGGUGGUCAGAGACCGGGUCAGUACUCACAGGGUUGAGAGGUGGUCAGAGACCGGGUCAGUACUCACAGGGUUGAGAGGUGGUCAGAGACCGGGUCAGUACUCACAGGGUUGAGAGGUGGUCAGAGACCGGGUCAGUACUCACAGGGUUGAGAGGUGGUCAGAGACCGGGUCAGUACUCACAGGGUUGAGAGGUGGUCAGAGACCGGGUCAGUACUCACAGGGUUGAGAGGUGGUCAGAGACCGGGUCAGUACUCACAGGGUUGAGAGGUGGUCAGAGACCGGGUCAGUACUCACAGGGUUGAGAGGUGGUCAGAGACCGGGUCAGU